CGUUGGCCGCGUUCCUGUGCACCGGUGUGACUCGCAGAGGGAGGAGGCGGUGGAGGAAGAGGUGGCGGCGGUGGCGGUGGUCGUAACGGUGGCGGAGGAGGCGGGUACGAAUCAGCUGCGGGCGGAGACAUGGCCAACAUCGCGGUGCAGCGAAUCAAGCGGGAGUUCAAGGAGGUGCUGAAGAGCGAGGAGACGAGCAAAAAUCAAAUUAAAGUAGAUCUUGUAGAUGAGAAUUUUACAGAAUUAAGAGGAGAAAUAGCAGGACCUCCAGACACACCAUAUGAAGGAGGAAGAUAUCAACUAGAGAUUAAAAUACCAGAAACAUAUCCAUUUAAUCCCCCUAAGGUCCGGUUUAUCACGAAAAUAUGGCAUCCUAAUAUUAGUUCCGUCACAGGGGCUAUUUGUUUGGAUAUCCUGAAAGAUCAGUGGGCAGCAGCAAUGACUCUCCGCACGGUAUUAUUGUCAUUGCAAGCACUACUGGCAGCUGCAGAACCAGAUGAUCCACAAGAUGCAGUAGUAGCAGAUCAGUACAAACAAAAUCCCGAAAUGUUCAAACAGACAGCUCGACUUUGGGCACAUGUGUAUGCUGGAGCACCAGUUUCUAGUCCAGAAUACACCAAAAAAAUAGAAAACCUAUGUGCUAUGGGCUUUGAUAGGAAUGCAGUAAUAGUGGCCUUGUCUUCAAAAUCUUGGGCUGUAGAGACUGCAACAGAAUUGCUUCUGAGUAACUGAGACGUAGAGCUGCUGAUAUAGUCAAGCUUGCCCCUUCUUGAGGAGCAUCAACAUCUGUUAUUUUUAGGAUUCUGCGUAGAUUUCUUUUAAACUGGCAUUCUUGCCUAAUGAUGUUAUCUAGGCACCAUUGGAGACUGAAAAAAAUCUCUGCUCUGUAAAUAAAGCUAAUUAAACGUCUCUGUAAAUUU